rnacentral:misc_RNA from 1 species
UAUGCGAGUAUUACCAGUUGCAUUACCCUGCGAGGGGCUGUUCUGUUAAGUUUCAUCCUUUGGAGCACCUGCAUCCCUUGGAGUAUUAUAGAUCGGGCAAAACAGUUCUACAUGUUGCUGGCUCAACCAUUGAUCCAAGAUCAUGCAGUACAAGUCUUGAAUUAGCAGAGGCACAAGGUGCUCUCAUGGUAGAGGAGGAAGCAAAUGCCUUGUCAAUAUGGACUGUUGCAAGCAUUUGUGGUUCUUUACGCCUUGAGCAUAUUUUAUCAAUUUUAGCUGGAGCGCUGCUGGAGAAGCAGAUUGUGAUUGUUUGUUCUAAUCUGGGUAUCCUGUCAGCUUCAGUUUUAUCAAUUAUCCCUAUGAUUCGUCCCUACCAGUGGCAAAGUUUGCUGAUGCCAGUGUUACCAAAUGACAUGCUGGACUUUUUGGAUGCUCCUGUUCCUUACAUAGUUGGUGUGAAAAAUAAAACCAGUGAAGUACAAUCAAAGUUAACCAAUGCCGUCUUGGUUGAUGUGAACAAAAACCAGGUCAAGGCCCCAACAAUACCUCAGUUGCCAAAACAGAAGGAGUUAUUCUCAUCAUUAAGACCGUAUCAUGCGGAGCUAGUUGGAGAGAGUUUUUUAGGGAGAAAGAGGCCAGUGCAUGAAUGCACUGAUGUGCAGGUUGAAGCUGCCAAGGGUUUCCUAAAAGUGCUUAGAUUAUACUUGGACUCUCUCUGCUCUAACCUUCGUUCACAUACAAUUACUAAUGUACAAUCAAAUGAUGAUAAGGUAUCAUUACUCUUGAAGGAGAGCUUCAUCGAGUCGUUCCCAAGCCGUGAUCGGCCGUUUUUGAAGCUUUUUGUGGACACACAGUUGUUCUCUGUACAUACAGAUCUCGUUCUCUCUUUCUUCCAGAAGGAAUGAUCCCACCGUGACAUGAACUGAU